UUAGCUCAUCUUUGUAUGGAGUGGGAUCGUUUGACUAUGUUUGACGCUAGGGGCGCUGUUCCAACUGCAUACAAAAUUGGGCUA
rnacentral:pre_miRNA from 1 species